UUGUCACUUCCAUUGUUAGUUCCGGCCAUUACAGCCUGCAUAUCAGUGAUGUAGGACCAGCUGGUAUUCAUCUACCAGUCGCUACCACUACUACCACCACCUGCAUCGGCCCUUGGGACUUGCACACGCUAUUAUACUAUAUAUAUAUAUAUAGGCCUCUGCCACGUGGAGGUUAUUCACUGGAUCCUCUUGGAGUAAGAUUUUUCCUGCAGGGCUGCACAGAUGUCAGGAUAUCUCUACAGAUCAUCUACCAGUGUCUGUUUUCCAAAGAGGUGGUCCCCGGGUUACGACGGGUCUGGCUUACGACGUUCCGAGGUUACGACGCUCUUUCUUAAAUAUUCAUUGAAAAAUCCGCCCUGGGUUACGACGCUUGUUCCGAGGUUACGACACUGACGCUUCCGACGCUCCGAGUUUACGACGCUUUUAAAAAACACAUACUAUGAUAAGAUAAGAAUCCUUUAUAGUUUAGCACAGUCUCUCUCUCUCUCUCUCUCUCUUUGUA